UACGUAGGGUGCGAGCGUUGUCCGGAAUUAUUGGGCGUAAAGGGCUCGUAGGCGGUUUGUCGCGUCGGGAGUGAAAACUCAGGGCUUAACCCUGAGCCUGCUUCCGAUACGGGCAGACUAGAGGUAUGCAGGGGAGAAUGGAAUUCCUGGUGUAGCGGUGAAAUGCGCAGAUAUCAGGAGGAACACCGGUGGCGAAGGCGGUUCUCUGGGCAUGUCCUGACGCUGAGGAGCGAAAGUGUGGGGAGCGAACAGG
rnacentral:rRNA from 1 species